UACAGAGGGUGCGAGCGUUAAUCGGAAUUACUGGGCGUAAAGCGCGCGUAGGCGGCUUUUCAAGUCGAUUGUGAAAUCCCCGGGCUUAACCUGGGAACUGCAGUCGAGACUGUCUAGCUAGAGUAUGGGAGAGGGAAGUGGAAUUUCAGGUGUAGCGGUGAAAUGCGUAGAUAUCUGAAGGAACAUCAGUGGCGAAAGCGACUUCCUGGACCAAUACUGACGCUCAUGUGCGAAAGCGUGGGGAGCGAACGGG
rnacentral:rRNA from 1 species